CCUACGGGUGGCAGCAGUGAGGAAUAUUGGUCAAUGGACGCAAGUCUGAACCAGCCAUGCCGCGUGCAGGAUGACUGCUCUAUGAGUUGUAAACUGCUUUUAUACGAGAGUAAAGCCCGAUACGUGUGUCGGGUUGAAAGUAUCUUACGAAUAAGGAUCGGCUAACUCCGUGCCAGCAGCCGCGGUAAUACGGAGGAUCCGAGCGUUAUCCGGAUUUAUUGGGUUUAAAGGGUGCGUAGGCGGUUUGAUAAGUUAGAGGUGAAAUGUUGCGGCUCAACCCUGAAACUGCCUUUAAUACUGUUGGACUAGAGAAUAGUGGAGGUAGGCGGAAUGUAUGGUGUAGCGGUGAAAUGCUUAGAGAUCAUACAGAACACCGAUUGCGAAGGCAGCUUACCAAACUAUAUCUGACGUUGAGGCACGAAAGCGUGGGUAGCAAACAGGAUUAGAUACCCUUGUAGUC
rnacentral:rRNA from 1 species